AGGGUAUCAACUGGGGAAAUAAUCAUAGCAGGUUAAAAGGGGAGGGAGAGGCACGACUUACUGCACAUUUACUGACCCAUGGCAUUGCCUGUGUGUCUACUCUAUCCUGUAGUAAAUGAAAUCUUCUCUGAGGCAGGUUACUCCUGAAUGAAACAGCUGCUAAAUUACUGUGUUUUAGCUUCCACUUGAUGCAGGUUGGCAAACAGACAAAGCAGUUAUAGCAGAUCAGCUUGAUGAGCAAGCACCACUGCACCAACAUUAUUUGCUAAUGAGAUAAGCUGGACAUCAGGAAACAACACAGAAGAGGACUCAUACUCUUCAAUUAUAUGGAUCCUUUCUGCAUCAGUAAGCACACAAUGACGCUUCAGUGCAGUUACUCCUAUUUUUCAUGGCUUACAACAGUGAAAAAGGCAGAAGAUAGGAUGACAAGCAUGAGGACAACAAAUCCAACACUUGAGCUAUGUUGUCAGUGAAUCUCCAAGGAAUCAUGCAACCUUCACAAUCCUUUACUUUAGUGGAAGUGCUUUCAGGCUCAUUAAAGUGUUACACAUGCGCCCCCAUCUGGAGCAAAUUGCCCCUGAGAGAAGGCAGCCCAGUCCAGGGCUGUUCCUGCCCUGCUCUGCCCCCCUGCAGCAGCCAGGGGGAGUGCCAAGCUCCCCUGGGUGCCAGCCCCAGGACUGGCAGUGGGGACAGGGGCCAGUCCCAAUCCUGAUCCUCACAUGGCCAGGAAAGCUGUCCCCACUCAGUGGGGACACAGCCUGCCAGCCAUGUGGGGAUCGCCAUGUGGCUGGCAAGCAGCAUGCCUACCGAGGAGGGACAGCUCUUUCAGCCACAUGGAGACUGAGUCCCAACCUGAUUUCCCCGUGGCUGGGAUGCAGCAGUCUCAGUUGCUAGGACAGUUCUCCCAGACAUGUGGGGAUUGGGACGGGUCCCGAUCCCCCACAAAGCGGGGAGACAGCUGCCCCUGUAGCUGGCACAGUUCCCCCCCACAUCAGGGUUUAGCCAGGCAGCAGCUGGCACCCUGCUGACUGGGAGCAAAUUGCUCUCAGUCAGCAUCCACAUGUAUGCUACUGUACAGUAGGUAAUGCACUAUUAAUCUAGCACCUGUAUAUCCUGAUGCUAGGAAAUGGCACAUUAAUCUAAUUUACUGCACACUGGGCAUGUCUACAUGUUCAUUAAUAUGCCUUAGAUACUGCAUAUUUAGCUUAGUAUUUCCUUAAUAAAGUACUAACUAAAAGAGCAGUAACUAGUUACUGCACAGUAGUGCUGGUGCAGUUUUUUUAGUGACACUUACUGUUCAUUAGCCUAAUAACUGUGCAAUAAGCUAUUAGCAUAGUUUUUGCCUGCCACACUACUGCGCAGUGUUAUUAGGCUAAUGUGAAGUAAGCAUCUUGUGUAGACGUGCCCAGUAAGUCCCACAUAUAUGUAGACGGUGACACUGUACUAUGCAUUACAUUCCUCUAAUGCACAGUAAAGCAUCUUGUAUAGACUGAACACUUCAGUUUGUGGACUAUGUUGCCUGCUGUUUAUAUAUCCUGUUUGUAUUUUGCUUUUUAAUGCACCUUUUAAAUUUGUCAGAUGUUUAUCAUGAUGCGUGUGAGGUGAUAAAGGUUAACAGACAUACUGUAACCUCCUCCAAUGGUAAUGAUGCAGGCCAUUUCCUGGUGACUAAGGUCUAGCUGGCAAAACCAAGGAACACUAAGGUCACACUAAGGAAUACUGUUAUUAGCAUUGGCAAUGUGCAGGGGGUGCAUGCGGGUGUGUGUGCACCUCCUGAGAUCGGCCGUGAACCCCCUGGAAGCACCAGCCGCAAAAUCAGAAGCGCCGGCAGAAGUGCACUUCUGAUUCUGCUGCUCAUGGUUCUGGGCUUGGCAAUCAGCCACUGCGGGACUUCCACCCUGCCGUCUCCCUCCCCCAAUCGGCAAUCUGGUGCCUCCCCAGACUCGGGAAGCACCAGUCGGCCAUGGUUAUUAGUAUGAUAAGAUGAUUAUGGAAGACAUUUUUGGAGUGUGAUGAGGUUUCAUCUAGAUUAGUAGACCACACUGCAUGCUUGUCACAUGGGUUGUAUCAAUUCACCACAAUCCAAUCCAUUUAUCUGAAAAACUUCUAAUACCAAUUGCACAUAGUAAAACAAAAGUGAGAAAGGAUACUUGUGAAUUGCAGUU